GGCCUUCCUGUCCCUCCCACGGUGGACGGUGGACGCAGGCUUCCUGCAGACUGGGAGGGGGUCUGAGCGGGAGAGUCAGAAACCCAGCAGUGAAGGGGCUCCCUGAGCCCCAUAUGAGGGCGUUCAGAAAAGUGGGUCAGUAUCGAGGGACUUCUGACUCGCUUUGUGAGAAAGACCAGACCCAGCUAUCGAACCUAAGAAGGUAGAAGAAAAGCCCUUCCUCGCCUACACGGGAGCCUCCAGAUCCAAGACUGCUGGUGGGUGAUCUGAGGCCACCUUUACUCCUGCUGUGAAUUCCUUCAAGUUGCUGCAAAUGCUUCUAAGUUCUCUCUCAGAACCUGAUAGAAGGAAGGCAGGAGAGAUGGAGAGAGCCCUGUACUAGGAGGCAUUUUGUUGGUGAGGAUGUGGAGCAGAGAGACUCGGUGUUAUGAACAGCAAUGCAGAGCUGAU
ensembl:lncRNA